rnacentral:tRNA from 1 species
AAAUUUAGGAUAAUUAAAACCGAGGGCCUUCAAAGCCCUAAAUAGAAGUACUCUUCUAAUUUCUG